AAUCAACGCUGGCGGCGUGCCUAACACAUGCAAGUCGAACGCGAAAGGGGAGCAAUCCCUGAGUAGAGUGGCAAACGGGUGAGUAACACGUGGGUGACCUGCCUUCGAGUGGGGGAUAACGUCCCGAAAGGGACGCUAAUACCGCAUGACAUCCUGCUCUUGGAAGAGCGGAGAUCAAAGCUGGGGAUCGCAAGACCUGGCGCUUGAAGAGGGGCCCGCGCCUGAUUAGCUAGUUGGUAGGGUAAUGGCCUACCAAGGCAACGAUCAGUAUCCGGCCUGAGAGGGCGGACGGACACACUGGGACUGAGACACGGCCCAGACUCCUACGGGAGGCAGCAGUGGGGAAUUGUUCGCAAUGGGCGCAAGCCUGACGACGCAACGCCGCGUGGAGGACGAAGAUCUUCGGGUCGUAAACUCCUGUCGAGUGGGAAGAAUGGAUCAGGGUGAAUAAUCCCUGGUAUUGACGGUACCACUAAAGGAAGCCCCGGCUAAC
rnacentral:rRNA from 1 species